rnacentral:rRNA from 1 species
CAACUUUCAACAACGGAUCUCUUGGUUCUGGCAUCGAUGAAGAACGCAGCGAAAUGCGAUAAGUAGUGUGAAUUGCAGAGUUCAGUGAAUCAUCGAAUCUUUGAACGCACAUUGCGCCCUUUGGUAUUCCAAAGGGCAUGCCUGUUCGAGCGUCAUU